rnacentral:tRNA from 1 species
CCUGCUGGAGCUGCGCCGGCUCGCUGCCGUCGCCGGAGGCGACCGGGCGGGCGCAGGCGCCGGUGACCGCUGCGUACGAGUCGCGCUGCGGGUC